UACGGAGGGUGCGAACGUUGUCCGGAAUCACUGGGCGUAAAGGGCGCGUAGGCGGGAUGGCAAGUCGGUCGUGAAAUCCUUCGGCUCAACCGAAGAACGUCGGCCGAUACUGCCGUUCUUGAGGGAUGCAGAGGAGAUUGGAAUUCCCGGUGUAGCGGUGAAAUGUGUAGAGAUCGGGAGGAACACCGGUGGCGAAGGCGGGUCUCUGGGCAUCUCCUGACGCUGAGGCGCGAAAGCGUGGGGAGCAAACGGG
rnacentral:rRNA from 1 species